AUUGAACGCUGGCGGCAUGCUUUACACAUGCAAGUCGAACGGCAGCGCGGGGCAACCUGGCGGCGAGUGGCGAACGGGUGAGUAAUACAUCGGAACGUACCCAGAAGUGGGGGAUAACGUAGCGAAAGGUACGCUAAUACCGCAUACGUUCUACGGAAGAAAGUGGGGGACCUUCGGGCCUCAUGCUUUUGGAGCGGCCGAUGUCUGAUUAGCUAGUUGGUGAGGUAAAGGCUCACCAAGGCGACGAUCAGUAGCUGGUCUGAGAGGACGACCAGCCACACUGGGACUGAGACACGGCCCAGACUCCUACGGGAGGCAGCAGUGGGGAAUUUUGGACAAUGGGCGCAAGCCUGAUCCAGCAAUGCCGCGUGAGUGAAGAAGGCCUUCGGGUUGUAAAGCUCUUUUGUCAGGGAAGAAACGGCUGAGGAUAAUACCUUCGGCUAAUGACGGUACCUGAAGAAUAAGCACCGGCUAACUACGUG
rnacentral:rRNA from 1 species